rnacentral:rRNA from 1 species
GACGGAAGGUGCAAGCGUUGCUCGGAAUCACUGGGCGUAAAGGGUGCGUAGGCGGCUUCUUAAGUCUGGUGUGAAAGCCCAGGGCUCAGCUCUGGAAGUGCACUAGAAACUGGGAAGCUUGAGUACCGGAGGGGAGAGUGGAAUUCCUGGUGUAGCGGUGAAAUGCGCAGAUAUCAGGAGGAACACCCAUUGCGAAGGCAGCUCGCUGGGACGGUACUGACGCUGAGACGCGAAAGCGUGGGGAGCGAACAGG